rnacentral:rRNA from 1 species
GAUGAACGCUGGCGGCGUGCUUAACACAUGCAAGUCGAACGGAAAGGCCCAAGCUUGCUUGGGUACUCGAGUGGCGAACGGGUGAGUAACACGUGGGUGAUCUGCCCCGCACUUCGGGAUAAGCCUGGGAAACUGGGUCUAAUACCGGAUAGGACCACUUCUUGGAGGUUGUGGUGGAAAGUUUUUUCGGUGUGGGAUGAGCUCGCGGCCUAUCAGCUUGUUGGUGGGGUAAUGGCCUACCAAGGCGUCGACGGGUAGCCGGCCUGAGAGGGUGUACGGUCACAUUGGGACUGAGAUACGGCCCAGACUCCUACGGGAGGCAGCAGUGGGGAAUAUUGCACAAUGGGCGCAAGCCUGAUGCAGCGACGCCGCGUGGGGGAUGACGGCCUUCGGGUUGUAAACUCCUUUCGCUAGGGACGAAGCGCAAGUGACGGUACCUAGAGAAGAAGCACCGGCUAACUACGUG